AUAAAGUGUCCAGGGAUGGGAAUCGAACCCACAGUGUUCCGCUUACCGGGCAUAUGCCAUGUCAACUAGGCUACUAUUUA
rnacentral:tRNA from 1 species